UGGUUUUUGUUACAGGACAAUUUUGUGCAGAAUUUAAUUUAGGCGGAGCUAUAGUUCAGGAACACCACAAAACAAAUAGAACCUGCACUUCUUGUCCUUUUGUUUAUAACUCAACUGAGAGUUUUCGUUACAAUGAAUGCUUCAAAGGACUUCCAUCAACACCUACAGGUUCCACAAAACAAAAUAAGCUUCCUAUGUCAAUAGAUCAAUGGAUCGGGCAUGAAAGACAACCAGGAUGAGUUUGAUAUGGGAGACGAAUAAAAAAGUUUAGAAUGUGAAAACGAAGUUUUUAAAAUGAAACGAACAUUCGUUUUAAAAAAAGUUGAAUAUUAAUCAGCGAUUUAUGAAGAGAUACUGCAUCCUUUACAUAAAAUGAAUAAUUAAUGCAUACGCCAACAUAGGACAGAAGUGAAUCACAAGAUCCGUUCCUUCGGUCUCUUGGCACACAGAAAUGUCUACCCCGAUAUGUAUACAUGUACAUCAUACUGUUAAUGAUAUAUUAUUCUCCGUAUAUUGGAUGGAUAAAAACCCACAAAGGCCAGAUUUUAUCACUUGUUGAAAAGCAGAUGUUUCGUACCUCUUACCUCUUCCAAGCGGACUAUGACAUAGUUCUGUAAGCUUUGUAUUUAAAUUUCGAGGUAUUUGUAGAGACGUGUAUCUGAAUCGAAAUACCUUAAUUGAUAGAAAUGUGCAAUAUUGUUGAGUGCCAAUAGUUACUUUUGUUUAAUUCAAGAUCGAUAUGUUAUAUUGUGAUACUUUUUCG